CAGGCCUAACACAUGCAAGUCGAACGGUGUCUAGCAAUAGGCAUAGUGGCGCACGGGAUGCGUAACACGUAACUAACCUACCUAUAACUGGGGGAUAGCCCGCCGAAAGGCGGAUUAAUACCGCAUAAGCUCUUAAUCUGGCAUCAGGUUAUUAGUAAAGAUUUAUUGGUUAUAGAUGGGGUUGCGGGUCAUUAGCUAGUUGGUAAGGUAACGGCUUACCAAGGCGACGAUGACUAGGGGAGCUGAGAGGCUGGUCCCCCACACGGGCACUGAGAUACGGGCCCGACUCCUACGGGAGGCAGCAGUGGGGAGUAUUGGACAAUGGGCGAAAGCCUGAUCCAACAAUGCCGCGUGAGUGAUGAAGGCCUUACGGUUGUAAAGCUCUUUUACCCGGGAUGAUAAUGACAGUACCGGGAGAAUAAGCCCCGGCUAACUCCGUGCCAGCAGCCGCGGUAAU
rnacentral:rRNA from 1 species